GGAGGAGAAAUGAGGUAUAAACU
rnacentral:siRNA from 1 species